UCCCCUCCCCCUCCCGGACAGCCAGCAGGUCUUUGGUUCGCUCCAAGUUGGUAUCAAGUUACUUUAAUUUCCCAAGAGCCAAGUUUCGUAUCGACUGUGUUUCAUUAUUGAAGGGUUAUGACCUUGCAGAAGAAGAAGUAAAACCAGAUAUUGGAAUUUCAGGAUCAACAUGAAAGUGAAUCUGAUGACUCAAACGGAGGGAGUAAAUACACCAGGCAGAUUAUUUCGAGGGUUAGUGGUGAUAAUCCAUAUUUGAUCAAUCCUCACAAGCAAGGAUGUUAAUAAAUAGACAUGUGAGGUGUUUUCUGUGAGGCGUCCUGGGAUAUGAUGGGUAACGUUGGCUUGAGUACGAUCUCCAUCCUGCACAGGGAAUGUUUAUAUGGAGAUGUGGAGAUUGAGAUGUUGGGUGAGAGGAACCACUUGUCUUUGAACGGUUUAUUAGGAUAUUUCUGUUUGCAAUGUUGUCUUUUUUAGUUUGAGCUCAAUGAGUGCAAUGUUGACCACUUGGUGAACAUGUUUUAGUUAAUGGAUAUGAUCUCCUGACGCUAGAGUCACUCUCACAACAUGUGAGAGGGAACCAUUUGGAUUAGAUCAAAUGUUUCAGUUUUCCUUAAGAGGUAAAACCCCCCCAUUGGUUGAUCAGGGCAGGGGGGGGGCGUUUACACUCUUUUUUAAUGAUACUAUAUGUUUCACCCAUACGUGUCAUUUUGAAGAGAAGGAAACUGUUUCUGCGUCAGAGAUUUAGCGCCAUCACUGUAUUGAAGGUGUUGGAUUGAAUUCAGGACCAAUAUGCUAAAUGCUAAACAGUGUUCCUCUGCUCCACGUUAAGUGAACCCUAGCCUGGUGCUCUACGUGGCCCUGCAGGAGCUGAGGGCUGGUUUAACCACACUGAUCGCUCAAUGUGCAACAGGUGUGCAGCCUCACCAAGCCCCAGAGUCCAAGCAGUCUGACUCGGGCCAGGUGAGGCUGCUUAAACCAGCCGUCAUCCACACACACUUCACAAAACUGUGCCUGAAACGGUCUGUAAGUGUAUUGUUUUUUUAAAUUUAUUUGGAGAUUUAUUAAUGGGGAUAUUUUGCUUACAUUUUACGGUGUUUAUUUGUUAACAGAAUUUUGGGGGUUUGGAUUAUUAUCAAAUGGCCUUUCAUCUGUCCAACGUGCCCGUUCUCCAACCUUAACGACAGAAUAGGAAUGUUGGACCAUGGAUACACAGAUGUGAGAACCUAUAGGCCUGGCAGUGGUGAUUAUCAAAUCCUAGGUCUGUCUUUGUGUGACGAGCUCUGUGGAGCUGACCGUACCCCAGACCAAGGACAUGGUCAUGUUUUAGAAGACCUUCUGCGCGGUGCAUACAGGGAUCAGAGACUGAAGGGUCUGAUCGGUACCCUGGGGCUGUUGACGACGGACUGGGUUUUGAGGCACUGACCCCAUUUGCACGAAGGUGCAGCAGCAGUUAUAUCUCUAAGGAAAAAUUGAGGAUUUAAUAUCAAUACCGUUACGAUGUCCCUGUUUUGCAAGGCUUUGAUUGAAUCUGUUGGACAUUUUUUAAUAUAAAUCCACUGGGUAGACUGAUGAAAGUGGCCAGUAAGGUCAUUGGGAUUGGGCAGAACCAGUUGAAGGACAUUUUUAAGAGGCAUGUGCUCAGGAAGGCCCAUGGCGGCCUGAACUCUCCGGGCUUCCCCGUGCAGGGAGGGUCGGGCUUCAGGGUGCCAUGGGGGAAGACUAAGGAGGACCAGGAACUCCUUAUAUCCCUGUCGCCAUUGAGUUAUAGAUUCGCUAACAAAAUGCAACAUUCCCAAAAAAAUCUAUUUUUUUCUGUUGCGGGCGGAUCAACGUCAUACAUGAGAAAGCACCUCCCAAACCAUCACCCAAGUGUGCAGGUUUUAGCGUAGAGGGAAGACGACACUCCUGUCCCCUCUCAAACCAGUACAACAACCAGUUCAACCAUGGUAGGAGCUAUCUCCUCAGGAACUCAACCUUCAUCCACUACAUCUGUGGCUUCUUGCCCCCUCUACCUCUACAACGGGCUCAGAAGUGAGACCAAAAAGACCCACAAACCACUCUGGGUUCCUUGCUGUGGAGAACCAUGGGCCCAAAGACGCAAAGCCAUCUGGACAAGGAGUUAUUCAAAAUGGUGGCUCAGGAAUUCCAGCCGUUUUCGAUGGUAGAAUACGAGGGCAUCGGCUAUAGAAGACGUGAUAAGGUAAGUGUUUUCACUGGUUUGGUACAGAACACAAUAUGUGUGAACCUGGCUGGCAGUGGUGGAGUUAUUAGAUUAUGACAUUGCAAUGAACCCGAUGUUUUAUUCACAAUUUUAUUUCAUAGAAAAGGGAAAGACAGAAAAGACUGUGAUUCAAAACAUUUCAUCUAAUUGUACCAGAGAGUCAGAGCCUACCUAGCAGAGGGACCAGAGUGGCAGACCUACUGAACAACAGCAUCUAGGUAUUAGAUUAUAGAAUGGAGCUAUCCAUGUAUAUAAGACACUACUCUCAUAGCUGGGGCGAUGUGGCCAGCAUAACGUCAGCUCAGUGGCGUUUAUAACGUAGCUCACUGAGUCGUCAUGACAACACAGAGCAGGGACAAAGGGUAGAAAGACUUCUGUCCUUGUUUGACCACGAUAAUGGCAGCCGUCUCCCAACACGUACUCAGUCUGUCAAGAUGUUCUUCUGUGUAGAGGCUAAUUCAGAGUGGAAACCAGGAACUGGUUCAACUGAUUAUAUAUGGAGCAGUUCAUAAUGAUAGGAUGGAUAAGUUUAAUAAUAUCAACCAUAGUCCUGGGAGGUAAGGGUUACAUUAAACUCUAACAUGUAUCAUAACAUGUAUCAUAGUUACAAUAAACUAACAUAUAUCAUGGAUAGAUUUAACUAACAUGUAUCAUGUUACCUUAAACUCUAACAUGUAUCAUGUUACAUUAAACUAACAUGUAUCAUGUUACAUUAAACUAACAUGUAUCAGGGUUAUGCUGAAUGAUGUGACUGCUGUCCUGACAUGUUGAUGUGUUGUUUCUCUCUACAGAAUUGGAAAAACAAAUAGAUGAGAUGGUAAGUGUUAUUACUGGUUUGAUACAGAACACAAUAAUAUGUGUGAACCUAGCUGGCAGUGGUGGAGUUAUUAGAUGAUGACCAGAGGCGGAUUAACACCCAGGCUAGCCUCGGCUGAGCCUAGGGGCCCAGGUGUGCAAGGGGCCCUGGAUGGGACACACUAUUUUCAAUUUGACUUAAAAUAAAAAAAGACUUGACUCCUAUUGGCCCAUAACAAGAACCAUUAAAAAGUGAAGCAGCUGAUUGGGUAGAUGUGUGGGCCAUGUCAUGUGACCAGGUUCAUAAAGUCAGUUUGGUUGUAAAGGAAUACGUCACGUCCGCUGGACAGCAAAGAGGCAGAAUGUCUGAAAAGCGAAAAGCACAAGUGUUUCCAUUUGUCGAUAUAGCACUCUGACUAUUUAUGACUUUGCCUGUGACCAAUGCCAGCAGGGGGCGCUCUUCUUCAAAAUGGGCGGUAGUUAAAGAUAGGCCGAGAUCCACAAUGGGCCAAAACAGACUGAAUCCCCGUCUCUUAUCUGUCCGUUGAUAGCGAUAUUCUGCGCAAAUUGGAUUUUACCAGCCUCAUUAAGGAGAUCUGUCGGUCGGUUGGUCAACAGAAGGGAGGCCAUGUAAUAUUCCUAGCACCCUUUUAUACAUGGCGAAAAAUGUAUUACUUUUUUACUGCGUGAUAAGUAAGGGGGCCUCCCAAGAAUUCUAGCCUAGGGUCCAAUCACCACCUUGAUCCACCACUGAUGAUGACCUUGCAAUGAAUCCAAUGUUCAUAUUUGAUUCACAUUUUUAUUUUAUUUAUAAAGGAAACACCGGAACAGAGGUCGGACUGUUACGGUAAGUUCUUAUUCCACAUGCUUCACUUUGUAAAUGAGUAACAGAUCAUUUAUUAAUAUCCAGUGAUGUGCAAGGGUUACUGACUCACACCAAGUCAAAUGAUAUCACUGUGAUUCAAAACAUUUCAUCUAAUUGUACCAGAGAGUCAGAGCCUACCUAGCAGAGGGACCAGAGUGGCAGACCUACUGAACAACAUCCUCUAGAUAUUAGAUCAUAGAAUGGAGCUAUCCAUGUAUAUGAGCAGGGCUCUACACUAACUUUUUUUUUCAGGAGCACUCGUGCCCCUAAGUAAAAAAUUUAGGAGCACAGGAAAAAAAAAUAGGGGCAUAAUAGGUUUUUGUUUAGAACAUUUAUUAGCGUGCAGAAAUUGCACACACCAACAGCACCAACUUACUAAAGCAAAAUUAAGACAAAUAAAGAGGCAAGAUUACAUUUAGGCUACACAAAAACAGCACCAAUUUCGGCUUCCACCGUACCAGGGUUAUUGGGCUGGGUGCGAUUUAUAUAGAAAUCGGGACAGCGAGAAUGCAUAGUGGACUCGAUGUGUUUCACCACAGCAUCGCGUUUCAGCUUAGGGUUCCCCGUUAUAAACAGAGAGGAGCCUGCCAUUGCCGAUGGGGCUUCCUUACAAAAUGUACAGAAUUUUUUUUAUGUUCUUAGCAUCAUAAUCUAGCCACCCGAAAUCCUUCAACCAGUAGGGGGAUGAAUUUGUAGACUUUAUCGACUACAGUAACAGCAUUAACUUUCUCCACGCAGUCUAUUCAUAAUAUUGUAAUGACCACGGAAAAGGCAGUGAAUGAAUUAUUGAUUAGACAGCGAUUUAGAUACCUAAUAAACUGUUUGAACGCCCAAGACUGGUAACCAUAGCAACGUAGUUAAACAAACCCUGCUAAACCCUCCCUUAGUGCUCCCCGCGCUACGGCCAUCCGGAGGCGCACAGAGCUUUUGGCAGUGAUAUUAUAUAUACAAUACAAUUAUAUUAUAUUAUAUACUAUUCUCUAUAGAGCUCGGGGAGUCGCAAACGGCAACAAUCACUUUCUCCUCCAUUCUGCGGUUCACCCCGGACUGCACUGCAGGGAACGGUUGGCCGGUUGAACGCUGAUUGGCUGUUACGUUACGCACGUCACUCAGUGGCCACGCUGUUGAACGCUGAUUGGCUGUCAUCACGCGAAUGUCGUGGAAAAGUUUAAAUAUUUCAACUCGAGCAAAAGUGGCGUGCUGAAAAUCCACCUGAAAUCCACGUGAACGCGCUCGCCCGUGCCGGGCAAAAGUGUCGCGCUGCAAAUGGUAUCGCUGCUUUGUAUGGAAUCGUUUCGCCCCUUCACGUUUGGUGUGAACGCACAGUAUAGUGCGCUGUGGAGAAGUCACUCGCACGCGUGCUCCUGUUCUGUUUUUCGCGUUCGCACGCCGAAAUAUUCACUCGCAAAUGCGAGUGAAAUUGGCGCACUGUAGAGCCCUGUAUAUGAGAGACACUAUAUGAGGCAUUUUCUCAUGACCCAUGGGGGACGGCACGAGCAUUUAAAAAAAAAAAAAGCAUCAGCGCUGCGAAGUGGUUUUCUAUUAUCUAUCAUAUCACUGUGUGGGGAUUUGGCAUAUUGGCGCCCCUCUGGCUGCAGGCGCCCUGCUUACUGA